AGGUGAUAAAAUUGGUUUGAUUCUGGGAAUCGCAGCUGCAGUUGUUUUCGCCAUCAUCUUUGUGUGUCUCAUCGUCUGCUGUGUCGUCCCUUGUUGCCUUUGCCACAAAAUAUGUAGAAAACAACGCCAUCGCGGGCAAGCAGCAGUAACAAAUACUGUAGCCAGCAUGCCCCAGCCUCCCUACUCACCAUCCGGAUAUCCAACACCCCCUUCGGGAUAUCAGCCUGUUUCGGGACAAGAGGGCUUGGCGAUGCCCAGUGCCCCGCCGCCAUCAUAUAUGGAGUGCACUUCUCCAUCGUACACUCCAGCUCCCUACAUACAAGGGCAGCCAAUGUACCCUUUGACUCCUCCCAACCAGCCUUAUGCACCACAGCUACCAGAGGAAGCUUCACAGCCCCCUUACAACCCCUCAUAUGGACCGCCAUCCUAAGCUGAAAGCUGCUCACUCAGUUAUGCUGCAUAUUAUAAAGACCAGAUUGCAAAAUCAGUGUGAUCUGUAAAACUUUUGGUCAUGUGUAGUUAUCCUGCAAAGCUUACUGUGUUAAAUUAAAAGGCAUGUAUACCCAGAGGUUAUAUUCAAUGUUUAUAGUUUCAUCGUUUUAAUGUAUACUCUUGUGGUAAAUGUUGAAGAGACCUAUUUAUUUCUGCUCCCUAUCUCUGCAGAGCAUUUUAAUUAUCUCUCAAAUUUUUGCACGUUAGCAUGUUACAUUUAUGCUGCAAUAAAAUUAUGAUAAUGACAAUCUAAAGAAAAAAAAGAUUUAAUAAUGCAAGAAACAUUGCACUACUUACAGAAAUAGAAUUUUGUUGCAUAAUAUCUAAGUCUAGCAAUUUUUUAUAUGAAGCAGAUUCAUGCUUUUUUUAUGCUGUCUUUGUUUACCUAAAAAUUUAUAAGAUUACAUUUAUCUAAGAAUAGAUUGACAUUACUACUGACUGGGAUUCCUCAACUAACCCAGCCUACCAGCAGAGGGCGCCACUGGCUGACUUUUUUAAAUGAAACUUUUGCUCCACAGACUGUUUCCCCACUAAUUUUGUUAAUACAUUGGAGGGAGCUUAAUACGUUUGUAGUCACAUAGUCUAAAUAGCAAUACUCAUGUUUGAAUGCUAAAUAAUUACACAAACUCUGCAGAGGCUCAUCAGUAAACUCUGAUUGAAGAAAUUAAACAGAUUUUCCAGUAGUAACUAUGCUUAAAUCUGGUAUAAAAGCAGUCUAUAUUCUACGAGUUCAUAAGUGCAUCUAAGUCUAAAAUGUGCUUUUUACUUCAUAAAAAAAUUGGUUUAAUAGACACGGACUGCUGACUGCUAUCCAUUAACAAAUUCUUUUCCCCCAACAAGUUAGAGUGGAAAAUGAUCCUGCUGUGUAAGCCUUUUGCAUUAGUGCUGAAAUGAUUAGACUCCUCUGUUUCCUUCCAGAACUGAAAUGAAUGAUAGCAAACAAAACUCCCUCAGGAUAUCAUUUCAAUAUAAGUAUCUAGAAAAAAUGAUAACAAAAAGUAGAUAUGAAAAGACAGCUCUUUACACCUUUUGUCACACAUAUUUUUACAUUGGACCAGGUUGGAUUGGUGAACUUCCUUCCAUUAAUAAAUUAAAACUCAUUUCAAACCUGCAAUUUCAAUUAAGUCUGGAUAUCUUUGCCUGAUAUCAAUAUAUCUCUAAGUGUAAGACAUUUGAUUUAUGGGUUCCAAAGAAGUUUUUUUUUUUGUCACUUAAAAAAAACAUUUAGAACUGUGCUCUCUUUAAGCAGGUAUUAAAGAAACUUUUCAUUAAGCCGACAUUUCUGUGUUAAAAAUGUAUUUUGUGUUGGUCUGCUGGAAUAUCCUAGUCUUUAAUGCCAUGUUUUUAUUAACUAUAAGCAGAAAAUUAACAGGCCUGGAAACAAAACAUCAAUCAGUGUGUGAUUAAUUGGUGUAAUAUGCUUUACUUAAUGAAUUGUGUUAUUGAAAUAAAUGGAAUCUGCAGUGGU